UACAGAGGGUGCAAGCGUUAAUCGGAAUUACUGGGCGUAAAGCGUGCGCAGGCGGUUGUGCAAGACAGAUGUGAAAUCCCCGGGCUCAACCUGGGAACUGCAUUUGUGACUGCACAGCUUGAGUGCGGCAGAGGGGGAUGGAAUUCCGCGUGUAGCAGUGAAAUGCGUAGAUAUGCGGAGGAACACCGAUGGCGAAGGCAAUCCCCUGGGCCUGCACUGACGCUCAUGCACGAAAGCGUGGGGAGCAAACAGG
rnacentral:rRNA from 1 species